AGAACGAACGCUGGCGGCAUGCCUAACACAUGCAAGUCGAACGGAUUGUAGCAAUACAAUCAGUGGCGAACGGGUGAAUAACGCGUGGGAACCUACCUCGGAGUUCGGAAUAACCGCGGGAGACUGCGGCUAAUACCGGAUACGGCCUGAGGGCGAAAGGAGCAAUUCGCUCCGGGAGGGCCCGCGUCCGAUUAGCUAGUUGGUGGGGUAAUGGCCUACCAAGGCGAUGAUCGGUAGCUGGUCUGAGAGGAUGAUCAGCCACACUGGAACUGAGACACGGUCCAGACUCCUACGGGAGGCAGCAGUGGGGAAUAUUGGACAAUGGGGGCAACCUGAUCCAGCAAUGCCGCGUGGUGAUGAAGGCCUUCGGGUAGUAAGUCCGUUUGGCGGGAAGAUAAUGGACCGUACCGACGAGAAGAACGCCCCGCUAACUUCGCGCCAGCACGCCG
rnacentral:rRNA from 1 species